rnacentral:misc_RNA from 1 species
GCAUGCUCGAACAUAUCGAAUUACAAUACUGGCGAUACAGUCAAGAGAAACAAUGUCGGUGAAAAUCAUUUUUGUAUUAGUUCUUGUUGCGAUCGCAAUGUCGACAUCAUUUGCCUGGAAAGACUAUUGCGUCCGAGAGAAAACGGGAGAACAUGUUAAAGUCGGUCGUUGCUAUUCUCCUGAUGGCUGUAAUCGAUGCAAUUGUGUUGCCAGUGGAUACGGAGAUCCUCAAUUUCGUUGCACUGUGAAGGCGUGUCCUCCUGGUCCUUGCGAUGUCUGAUUGUGUAAAACAAAGCAAACGCCAGCCAAGCAGUACCCUAAUUACAGCUGAAAUGAACAGUAAAUAUACAUAAAAAUAAAUAUAA